AAUAUUUAUAAUAGAAAGUUUCGCUCUAUUCUCUUUCAAUGAAAUAAUAUUAUCUAAUUUAGUUAAUAAUGCGAGAAUAUUGAUCCUUAGAGAACAAAUAACUAUUCUUUUUUCUUUCUUUUUCUUUAUUCUAUGUAUCUGUAACUUUACCUUUUACAAAACAUAGAGAAUUAAUUAACAGUACAUUUUACUGAUUUUUUGCAUGAGCAAUAAUGUAGGAGUGGCGCAGUGAUGUAUGUAUAAUUUCAUGGACAUUCUGGUUCAACUAGAAUAACAAGUUACUCAUUUGCAGUUCUCGAACUGUUACUAUUGGAGUUUAUAAAGAUCAACGUGAUUUCAACUAUUACAAACUACGUGAGCCCUGACCCAUUUUCUUAUGAAACUUUGAUCGAAGACAACUAGAUACCGUUUAAAAGUUAUCGUCAUUUAAAUACGGAGGCCAAAAGGUUAGAUAAGAAUAUAUAUAUAUAUAUAUAUUUUUUAUUAUUAUAAAGAAACAGAUAUCUGACGGUAGCUUUUUGUUCUAAUCAUUAUCGUAAUCAUUAUCAUGGUGCUUUUGGAUCGUUUAGCAGAAAUCAAUUUUAUUUAUUUUAUUCAAUGGUACAUUAAGCAAACCUUUCGUGAAAAGAUUUGCGAUAAAUGCAUUGAAUUUUGAAACCAAAACGAUUAAUAGAAAUGUACAUAUACAUAAAAAAGUUGCCGAGGAAUUUGGGUAAAGUUGCCAAACAAGUGUGAGCUGAGCGAUAAAAUAUGAUUAGCGUAUUCCAAGAGAGAAUCGCGUGAUAAACAAAUUUGGUGACCUUAAUUAAAAGAGAUGCCACUACCGUCGUCAUCAUCAUCAUCAUCAUCAUCAUCAUCAUCAUCAUCAUUACCAUCACCAUCACAGAGUGUGAUGUCUCUAUCUCUUCCAAAUUAUUUGAUCUCUAAGGAUUUUCUCGUUUUUAUAAAAAAGCAAAAAAAGAAAAGAAAAAACAAACAAACAAGAAAAAAUUAAGUCAAUCGCCUUUAUCUG